ACGCUCGACACCUACGGGAGGCCGCAGUGGGGAAUAUUGGGCAAUGGGCGAAAGCCUGACCCAGCAACGCCGCGUGAGGGAAGAAGGUUUUCGGAUUGUAAACCUCUGUCCUCAGGGACGAAGGACGUGACGGUACCUGAGGAGGAAGCCCCGGCUAACUACGUGCCGGCAGCCGCGGUAAUCUGAGGCGGGCUGGCAAGGC
rnacentral:rRNA from 1 species